AUUGAACGCUGGCGGCAGGCUUAACACAUGCAAGUCGAGCGGAGAUGAGGUGCUUGCACCUUAUCUUAGCGGCGGACGGGUGAGUAAUGCUUAGGAAUCUGCCUAUUAGUGGGGGACAACAUUCCGAAAGGAAUGCUAAUACCGCAUACGACCGACGGGGGAAAGCAGGGGAUCUUCGGACAUAGCGAUAAUAGCUGAGAAUAAGUCGGAUUAGCUAGUUGGUGGGGUAAAGGCCUACCAAGGCGACGAUCUGUAGCGGGUCUGAGAGGAUGAUCCGCCACACUGGGACUGAGACACGGCCCAGACUCCUACGGGAGGCAGCAGUGGGGAAUAUUGGACAAUGGGCGGAAGCCUGAUCCAGCCAUGCCGCGUGUGUGAAGAAGGCCUUUUGGUUGUAAAGCACUUUAAGCGAGGAGGAGGCUACUUUAGUUAAUACCUAGAGAUAGUGGACGUUACUCGCAGAAUAAGCACCGGCUAACUCUGUGCCAGCCGCCGCGGUAAUAC
rnacentral:rRNA from 1 species